rnacentral:rRNA from 1 species
UCUCACCCUUUGUGACAUACCUAUAACUGUUGCUUCGGCGGGUAGGGUCUCCGCGACCCUCCCGGCCUCCCGCCUCCGGGCGGGUCGGCGCCCGCCGGAGGAUAACCAAACUCUGAUUUAACGACGUUUCUUCUGAGUGGUACAAGCAAAUAAUCAAAACUUUUAACAACGGAUCUCUUGGUUCUGGCAUCGAUGAAGAACGCAGCGAAAUGCGAUAAGUAAUGUGAAUUGCAGAAUUCAGUGAAUCAUCGAAUCUUUGAACGCACAUUGCGCCCGCCAGCAUUCUGGCGGGCAUGCCUGUUCGAGCGUCAUUUCAACCCUCAAGCUCUGCUUGGUGUUGGGGCCCUACAGCUGAUGUAGGCCCUCAAAGGUAGUGGCGGACCCUCUCGGAGCCUCCUUUGCGUAGUAACUUUACGUCUCGCACUGGGAUCCGGAGGGACUCUUGCCGUAAAACCCCCAAUUUUCCAAAGGUUGACCUCGGAUCAGGUAGGAAUACCCGCUGAACUUAAGCAUAUCAAAAGGCGGGAGGAA